rnacentral:lncRNA from 1 species
CUUCCGGUUUAAAAGAUGUUAUUUCUGGUAUGUUUUGAUAGUUUACUUGACACUGAUUCCAAAAAUAGAUGGUUCGAUAUAUUUUUACAUUAAAUUAGUACAAAAAAUGGCUACUUCCGGUUUACAAAAGGUCACUUCCGGUUGGCUUUUUCAAGGUCACAUUGCUUGCAACCUUUUGCCAAAAGUCCCAUGGCUUUAUCAUGUAUAUAUAAG